rnacentral:rRNA from 1 species
GAUGAACGCUGACAGAAUGCUUAACACAUGCAAGUCUUUGGCGGAGCUGUGCUUUCACAGCCUAGCCAGAGUGGCCGGGGGAGUAAUGCGUCGGGAACUAGCCCUCCGGUAAGGGAUAACAGACGGAGACGACGGAUAAGAACAGGGAAAGACAGCAGGAAUCACGUCCAGACUGAUGAAAAGAGAUAAUGCAGGCGAGCCUUGCGUCCUCUUAGCUUGUUGGUGGGGUAACGGCCGACCAGGGCGAUGAUAGGUAGCCGGCCUGAGAGGGUGGACGGCCACAAGGGGACUGGGAUACGCCGCUGACUCCCUCGGGAGGCAGCAGUGGGUAAUAUUGGACAAUGGCGGCAACCCUGAUAAGGCAAUUCUGUGUUCACGAUGAAGUUUUUCGGAUUGUAAAGUGCUUUCAGCAGAGAAGAAAAAAAUGACGGUACCUGCAGAAGAAGCGACGGCUAAAUACGUG